UGGAGGAUUAGCUCAGCUGGGAGAGCAUCUGCCUUACAAGCAGGAGGUCACAGGUUCGAUUCCUGUAUCCUCCAU
rnacentral:tRNA from 1 species